rnacentral:rRNA from 1 species
UACGGAGGUGGCAAGCGUUGCUCGGAAUCACUGGGCGUAAAGGGCGCGUAGGCGGUCGGCAAAGUCAGGGGUGAAAUCUUUCGGCUUAACCGGAAAAGUGCCUUUGAAACUAGUCGACUCGAGCGAGAUAGGGGCAUGUGGAACUUCCGGUGGAGCGGUGAAAUGCGUUGAUAUCGGAAGGAACGCCGGUGGCGAAAGCGACAUGCUGGAUCUCUUCUGACGCUGAGGCGCGAAAGCUAGGGGAGCAAACGGG